rnacentral:rRNA from 1 species
UACGUAGGGGGCAAGCGUUGUUCGGAAUUACUGGGCGUAAAGGGCGCGUAGGCGGCACGGCAAGUCGGGAGUGAAAGCCCGGGGCUCAACCCCGGAGGGUCUUCCGAAACUGUCGAGCUAGAGUGCGGAAGAGGCAAUCGGAAUUCCCAGUGUAGCGGUGAAAUGCGUAGAUAUUGGGAAGAACACCGGAGGCGAAGGCGGGUUGCUGGGCCGACACUGACGCUGAGGCGCGAAAGCCAGGGGAGCAAACGGG